CAAGUCGAGCGGGGAAAGGUAGCUUGCUACCUGACCUAGCGGCGGACGGGUGAGUAAUGCUUAGGAAUCUGCCUAUUAGUGGGGGACAACAUUCCGAAAGGAAUGCUAAUACCGCAUACGCCCUACGGGGGAAAGCAGGGGAUCUUCGGACCUUGCGCUAAUAGAUGAGCYUAAGUCAGAUUAGCUAGUUGGUGGGGUAAAGGCCUACCAAGGCGACGAUCUGUAGCGGGUCUGAGAGGAUGAUCCGCCACACUGGGAYUGAGACACGGCCCAGACUCCUACGGGAGGCAGCAGUGGGGAAUAUUGGACAAUGGGCGAAAGCCUGAUCCAGCCAUGCCGCGUGUGUGAAGAAGGCCUUUUGGUUGUAAAGCACUUUAAGCGAGGAGGAGGCUACUUAGAUUAAUACUCUAGGAUAGUGGACGUUACUCGCAGAAUAAGCACCGGCUAACUCUGUGCCAGCAGCCGCGGUAAUACAGAGGGUGCGAGCGUUAAUCGGAUUUACUGGGCGUAAAGCGUGCGUAGGCGGCUUCUUAAGUCGGAUGUGAAAUCCCUGAGCUUAACUUAGGAAUUGCAUUCGAUACUGGGAAGCUAGAGUAUGGGAGAGGAUGGUAGAAUUCCAGGUGUAGCGGUGAAAUGCGUAGAGAUCUGGAGGAAUACCGAUGGCGAAGGCAGCCAUCUGGCCUAAUACUGACGCUGAGGUACGAAAGCAUGGGAGC
rnacentral:rRNA from 1 species